rnacentral:rRNA from 1 species
AACGUACGCUGGCGGCACGCCUAACACAUGCAAGUCGAACGAAGUAGCAAUACUUAGUGGCAGACGGGUGAGUAACAUGUAGGUAUCUGCCCUUUGGCCUGGAAUAACACGAGGAAACUUGUGCUAAUACCGGAUAAGUCUUUACGGAGAAAGCUUUAUGCACCAUUGGAUGAGCCUGCACUUGAUUAGUUUGUUGGUGGGGUAAUGGCCUACCAAGACUGUGAUCAAUAGCUGAUUUGAGAGGAUGAUCAGCCACAUUGGGACUGAGACACGGCCCAAACUCCUACGGGAGGCAGCAGUGGGGAAUCUUGCACAAUGGAGGAAACUCUGGUGCAGCGAUGCCGCGUGAGUGAAGAAGGCCCUUGGGUUGUAAAGCUCUUUCGUCGGGGAAGAAAAUGACUGUACCCGAAUAAGAAGGUCCGGCUAACUUCGUGCCAGCAGCCGCGGUAAUACGAAGGGACCUAGCGUAGUUCGGAAUUACUGGGCUUAAAGAGUUCGUAGGUGGUUGAAAAAGUUAGUGGUGAAAUCCCAGAGCUUAACUCUGGAACUGCCAUUAAAACUUUUCAGCUAGAGUAUGAUAGAGGAAAGCAGAAUUUCUAGUGUAGAGGUGAAAUUCGUAGAUAUUAGAAAGAAUACCAAUUGCGAAGGCAGCUUUCUGGAUCAUUACUGACACUGAGGAACGAAAGCAUGGGUAGCGAAGAGGAUUAGAUACCCUCGUAGUCCAUGCCGUAAACGAUGUGUGUUAGACGUUGGAAAUUUAUUUUCAGUGUCGCAGGGAAACCGAUAAACACACCGCCUGGGGAGUACGACCGCAAGGUUAAAACUCAAAUGAAUUGACGGGGACCCGCACAAGUAGUGGAGCAUGUGGUUUAAUUCGAAGAUACGCGCAGAACCUUACCAACACUUGACAUGUUCGUCGCGACUCUAAGAGAUUGGAGUUUUCGGUUCGGCCGGACGAAACACAGGUGCUGCAUGGCUGUCGUCAGCUCGUGUCGUGAGAUGUUGGGUUAAGUCCCGCAACGAGCGCAACCCUCACUUUUAGUUGCCAUCAUUAAGUUGGGCACUCUGAAAGAACUGCCAGUGAUAAGCUGGAGGAAGGUGGGGAUGACGUCAAGUCCUCAUGGCCCUUACGUGUUGGGCUACACACGUGCUACAAUGGUAUCUACAACAGGAAGCAAGACUGCGAAGUUAAGCAAAUCCCUAAAAGAUACCUCAGUUCGGAUUGCACUCUGCAACUCGAGUGCAUGAAGCUGGAAUUACUAGUAAUCGUGGAUCAGCGUGCCACGGUGAAUGCGUUCCCGGGUCU